GGAAUUGUGGAAAGUAUAUUUUCAAGAGGCACCUUUAAUAUAAAUCCAAUUUUCUAAAAUAGUAGAAGAUGACUCCUGAAUAGACACCUUUAGUAUAUAUUGAAAUUUGUGGAAUUAUGAAAAGUGUCUCUUUAAGUGAUACUUUUUGUAUAAAUUAAAAUUUUUGGAAUUGUAAAAAAUGUCUUUUUAAGAGACAUUUUUAGCUUGAAAUCAAAUUCAUGAGACAAAUUCAAAUUAAUCAAAUUAUGGACGGUGUCUCUUCGUUGGAUUUUAUAGAAUUUUGAAAAGUAUCUUUUCAAGAGAUAUCUUUAAUAUAAAUUAAAUUUUUUGAAAUUGUAAAAGAAAAUGCACAUUUAGUUUAAAUUCAAUUAUUUUAAAUAUGUAUCAUAAUUUUGAAAAUUAUGAAAGGUGUCUAUUUAAAAGACACCUUUCACAUGACAAAUCUAUUUUAAAAUGUUGCUGCAAAAGUUUAAAAAAACCGCUUCCUAUAGACCUGUAAAUGAUGAAGCCUACUACUCCACCAAAUUAUGACUAUAUAUAUAUAAAAUUAUGGGAGAAUUGUGUUUUGGGCCCAGUUGGGUCUAAAAAUUAACAUUUGGUCCAUAUAACUUCCAUAAUUGAUGGAAAUGAUAUAAGAUGUUAAAAAACCAAUAUAUCUUUCAAAUUUCUAUACAUUACCUUUUAAGGAUAUAAAAUAGUGAUGGACUAAAAUACCCAAUAACCUUUCACAUAAGUUUUUUUUGUCUUUAUUGCACCACUAUUCAUACAACCAUAAUAAUUCUAUUUUAACAAUUUGGAUUUUUUUAUUGUUUUUUUUAAAUUAUAAAUAAUUGAAAAUCAACAUUAUUUUCUAUUUUAAAUUAUAAAUAAAGAAAAAUUAUGUUCAAAAACUAUUUUAAAAAACGCUUUCUAAAAAAUAGUAAUAUGAUUUAUAUUUUUUAUAUUUUCUUUUUGAAAAAACGUUUAAUUAAAAAACGAAAACUAUUUUUAAAAAUAAAAAUUGAAAAUUGUACUAUUUUUUAUAUGAAAAUAAUAAAAAGAAUUAAAUUUUAGUAAUUGAUUAUCCAUUUUUAUUUUUUUCCAUUAGUUAUUUUAAUAAAAAAAAAUAGUAUGUUUACAAUUAAACAAAUAAAUUGAUCAAUUAUGUGUUUUUUGUGGAACUAUCUUUUACAUGAAAAAUAAUUAAAUAACUAAAUUAUAUAUAUUUAUUACUCUUUUUAAUUUUAUUUUCUUUAUUUAUUUUUUGUCUAAUAGAAAAUUUUAAUAUAUCCAUAAUUAACAAAGUAAUAAAUCAAUUGUGCAUAUUUUUAUCUAUUAAAAUAAAUUACUUUCUAAUUUAAAUAAAUAAAAUAAAAUAAGUAAAUAAAUUUGGGGUUAUUUCUAUUUUUUAACAUAUCUUAUAUCAAUAUUUUUAAUGAUUAAAUAAAAUUUUUAUUUUUUAUUUCUUUAAUUCCAAAAAUAAAAUGAAAUAAAUAAAUAAAUUUGGAAUUUUCCAAUUGAUCUUAUAUUCAUAUUUCUCAUGGUUAAAUAAUUUUUUUAUUCUUUUGUCUUUAUUUCCAAAAAUAAAAGGAAAUAAAUAAAUAAACUUGGUUUAAAUAAUAGUUUUUAAGUAAUUUUUUUAUCUUAUUUUUAAUUACAUUUUGCAUUGAAAAUAAAAUAAAAUAACGUUUUAUUUGAGUCACUGUACAAGGUAUUUACACUAAGUGUACAUGACAAAUAUACUAAUUGUACAAGGGUGUACAAGACUAUUAUUUGUGAAGGAUUUUAAGUAAUUUUGAAAAACUUGUUUGUUUAUUUCCCCUAACCGAGGAUAAAUGAAAUUCCUUAUACACAUUGGUUAAGCAUACAUUCAUUUCAUACACUUUAUCUAACUUGUAUAUGGUCAUUUGAAUAGGUACCUCACUUAUGAUGAUUGUAAAACAAAAUUAUAUAAUAAUUUUUCUUCUUUUUUAAAACCAAACCAAUGCAAACAUGGUUAACCAACCUAUUGUUAGAUAUUCAUGAGAUGAUGCAUGAAAUUUGAGUUAUUGUAUAAGGGUAUUACACUAACUGUACAAGACAAAUUUACUAAUUGUACAAGGGUGUACAAUACUACUUUUUGUUAAGAAUUUCAAGUGAUUUUGAAAAACUUUCCCAUUUUUUUCCACUCAAAUAUUUUUUUCCCCACUCAAAUUCUCUCACUCAAGAAUUGUUUCGAAUUUUAUUUUUAAAUUUCAUCAUCAAAUUUUUGUAAUUGCAUAUUUUGUUUUUAUAGUUUUAGCAAUGUUAUUUCUUUCUACUAUUUUUUUUUUUUGUGAAAUUUUAUCCAAAUGAAUCUAUAUUUAAAAUUAUAAUCAUAUUUAUCAAAUUUUUUACUUAGAUUAUCUUUAAUUCUUUUAAUAUAUUUAUACUUGUUUAUUUAAAAAAAAUGAAAAACUAAUUUUUUUUUCUAAACAUGUUCUAUUACCUUUCAAGUAAAAAAAUUAGAUAAGUUUGAAAGUCAAUAAAAAAAAUUAAAUACCACUUUCAAUAAUUUUUAGAUAAACUUUUAUAUAAUAUAUUUUAUUUGAAAUUUAAUUUUUAAAGUUUUACUAAAAAAUUGUACUACAAUUUUCUUGUUGUGAAUCAAAAUACUUUGCAUUAGUCUAUCUAGAUAAAAAAAAUUAUUAAUAUAAUAUUAGAACUUCAUAUCUUAGUUAUUUUUUUCAAUAAAUUUAUCUUUUAAAAAAUUUUAAAAUAAAAACAUUAAAAAUUAAAAAGCUAAAAGGAUAUAUAUAUAUAUAUAAUAGAGUGAAGUGAUAGUCAAUUUAAAUUUUUUUUAAAAUAUGGUUAAUGUAGCAAAUAUAAAAAAUAAUUAAAAAUAAGAGAAAAAUAUAAAUGAAAGGGUAAUAUAAAUUUAAAAUAAAAAAUAAAAAAUAAAACUAAAAGAUAAAUACAAAAAGAUAAAAAAUAUUUGGAUGAAAAAUCCCAAAAUUUUUAUCAUUGCUUAUAAUAAGAGUAAAAAGAUUCAAUAUCUUUAAAAAUGAAAAACAAAAAAACAUUAUUGCUUUUUAUUUGACAUAAAAUAGGAAUAUAGAUUGGAAGAAAAAAAAAGUUAAAAAUGAGUAAUACUUAAUAGGAAUAGAAAAGGGAAAAAAAAACACAAAAAAAUUGAAAUUCACGCUCACUUAUGCCUGUGGAAGAGUUAAGGGUAUUUUAGGGAUUAAUGAAGGAUAAUAUCCUUCAUCUUAAUUUUCAUACUUUGUUUGGGUCUUGGGCUUAAAUAUGCAUGAUAUUUGGACCAAAUGUUAAUUUUUGAACCCAGCUGGGCCCAAAACACAAUUCUCCCUAAAAUUAUCCCUUGGAGUCAACGUGAGUUCGCUUCUCAUUGGAGGGGUCCCGUAAGGUGGGUCCCAAUCGGUGAACCCCACUAUCUUUCUUCCUAAAACAUCCUCAGGUUUUAUUCCUUAUUUUAAUUAAAAAACAAUUUAUAAUAUUUUCAAAAAAUUUAACUUUCAAUCAAAAAAAAUAAUAAUAGUUAAAUAAAGAUAAGUUUUUUUUUUAUGUAAGGUAUGGAAAAAAAUAUUAUUAAUUAUUUGCUAUAUUAAUGAUUUUUUUUUUUAAUAUUUAGCAUAUUGAUGAGUGCCAAAAUGACAAUAUUUAAGAUAAAUAAAGAACAAAAAAAAGGUAAAAGAACCAUAGAAAAGUCUAUUAAAUAAAAAAUACAAGUAAAAUAUAAGUAAAAUAAUGCAUGUCUUACAUAACAAAGGUUUAUUUUAUAUUUACGUAUUAUCUUUUAUUUAUAAUUAUAUUUUAGGUGUCUCACAAGUUUUUUAAUUAUAUUUUAUUUUCUUUACUAAUUUUCACAAGUUUUGCUUCUUUUUUAAUAAUGUCAGUUACAAGCAUCAACCCAUAAAUUUAUAGAUGUCAUUAAAUGAAGUAUAACAUUAUUUCUUAAUAAAAAUCUUUACCUUAUGAAAUAAAAUAUUAUAAAAUUUUAAGUUUUAUUUAGUGUGUUUUACUAUAAGUGAUUUGUCAAAUCUUUUUUAGAGCACGUUUGACAGUAAUUAUAAGAAGUAUUUCUAACAUUUUUAGUACUUGAAAAAUGAAAUUUUCAAAUGUUUUAGAUGUUAGAAAUACUUCCUAAAAUCACUACCAAACAUACUUUAAGUGAAUCAAUUAAGUGAUUUUUGAUUGGUGUUGGUUAAAUCCUUACGUUCCUUUAAUAAUUGAUUAAUUUAAAUAUAAUUAUAUUUAAAUAGGGCAAGCUAUACAAUGAGUGUAGGGAGGCUAAUUAAUCACACAAGAGUGUGAAAAAAUAGGAGAUAAUAAAAUCAACAAUUUAAGGGAGUACUAAUUUGCUUUUAAUGUGUUCGGAAGUAACCAAGUAGGUGCCAUGCAUAGAAUUUGAACAAGAUCAAAGACUUCUCAAACCCUUCCCUGGUAUAAAAUGGAGUCAAGAUUUAUCAGAAUUUUAGUUCAUGUAUAUGAUUGAAUAAUGAGACCUAGUAGACAGCCUUUUUUCUCAUCCUAUUUAUAUACGAGUAAUUGUUUAAUAAAUCUACCAUUUGCCUAGUAUAGUACUUAUACAGCACAUUUUGGCACCCUUUUGUUAAGUAUUGAAUUUAAGGUCUGUUUGGCAUAAUAUUUUGCGUCUUUUUAGUCAGAAAGCAAAACAUGAGUCAUAAGUAGAAGUCGCAACUUGUAUUUGGCUAAUGGAUUAGCAUUUGGAAGAGCUUUUGCCACAAUCUAUAGACUUCAUCUUUAACAGGUUACCCUGACUGACAGUGAGGAGAGUGUGAUCUAAAGAGAAAUUGAAGCUCCAUUUACAAGAAAUUUCAAGAGAAACUCACACCCACCUUUGGAAGGAACUCAAAGGUCCACUGACACCCAAACAGCUUCCAAUUAAUACUUCAAAUUCACAUCAUCAAACAAGACCAUCAACUUCAACAUUCACUAAAGAAAUUAGCUCAAAAAAAUUCAAAAUCCACAAUUCCAAGUCUGCAUUUUUUUAAACUGGGAUUUGAAGGGUUCAACAAAACCUGAAUCCAGUUUGCACAUAUGGCACAUUAACUUUAUUACAAGAUUAAACUGGCCGGAUAAUUGAUAAUUGUCAUUGGCCUUUUGAUUCAGAGAUGGACUGUAAUGGGCUUGUAGUCGAAAACAAUGACUUUCUCCAGGUGGGGCAGGAACAGAUUUGCAAAUUCGACAUGGGCUGGAUGAGACACAUACUCUGCAAUGCCUUCCACGCUCUCAAAGGUUGACUCGAAGACAUGAGUGAAACCUUGAUGCAUGUUCUCAAUGCUCACAUCCUUGCCCCUGUUACAUUACACAAGAUGUCACAAGUUUUAGAGAUUUUGAAGGCAUGGUAACAAGCAGCAUAACCAUUUCGCCAGGCACAACUCAAAGACAUCAGACUCAAACAUGAACCAUCGUAAAUUUCUUCACUUACAUGAAAACAAAAAUGUUAGAAAGGGAUCUAUAGGUUCAACAGAAAUUGUUCUGAUUCUAUGAGCAACUGAUGCCUCAUUAUCAGAUGAGUUCAGGGCAUCUGCUUGGCAAAUUAAUAUUGAAGUUCACUGAGUCAUCAUUGAGGCUUUUUGUUCAUUAUGAAAAUGGAAGCAGUCUCAGUUCUUAUACAAAAAGCAGAUACUGAAGACAAUUUCAUCAUUCAUGUAAGAAAACCUAUGAAAAUCCAAGCAUGUUAUGCAGAUGACCUACUAAGAGUGGGUCGACAAUAUUUCUAUUUUAAGUAUUUUUAGUGAAAGUGUUUUCGUUAGAAAUGUUUUUUAGAGAAUCACUUAUCAAGUGCUUUCCCAAGAAAUACUACAGGUGAUUUUUCAAUUUUGUAAAAAUGUUUUCUAAAUUUUGUCAAAUACUUGAUUUUUUUCCAAAAGUGCUUUUUAAACAAAGUAUUUUCUAAAAACAUGGUCAAAUGGGUUCUAAAUCGUGUUAGACACAGACUCUAAUUCCAUCCAGGUGCUCAAAGGGCAUCUUUCACAUAAAUGAAGCCACAAAAGAAAGAGUGACUUCUAAUCAAACUUUAAGGUUAACUUUCACAUCAAACUUAGAAGUACCGAAACUAUGAUUUGGUAACCUGGUUUUAGUUGUUGUGAAUCUAAACAUGUACAUGAGGUUUUGAUUGCUAAGAAAGCUGGCACCAUCUUGAUGAGAGUUCUCAAGACGUGCUUACUAACUUUAAAAAAAUCACUUUCAGAAAAAAGUCCUGCAGCAUAUAUUGUCAAGCUAAAAGAGGAAUAUUUUGGUUCUAGCUACAUGCCAAAGCACUAAAUUAUCUUCACUUAUUUUCCUUUUAGGCAUGCUAAAAAGCAUUCUAUAGAGUAUAGACAACUGAUAUUUCACCUGUGAAGUUUUUUCAACACAUGAUAUGAUAAUUAUUUGAAAAUUUGGAACUUUCUUCUCAAUAUAGGACCAGAUGUUCCUGAACUUCUAUAAAAUUUUAAAAAAUAUAUAUAUAUACAAAGAAGCACCAACAAACUUUCGGGUUUUCUAAGGUUUAUUCAUAAAUCAAAUGUUGCCCAAUAUGGGAGACCAAGAAGCAAGACUAAACGCCUACUGUGAAACAGCUGCAACUCAUCCUAAUACCCCUUUGGAAACAAUUGUAUUAGGCUCCUUUCAGAAAGCCCACACCACUACAAACAACAAAGAGAGGCACCUCAAGCAUUCACCCUACCGACAUUGUUCAACAAUUUAGAAGGGGAUUCUCAAACCCAACCUAAGUCAAUCAACUUCAUCCGAGUCUUCAAUACAAAAUCUGAAGAAAAACUCCAGCAAAUCCAACAGAUACAUGGAUCCAAUCUAUCCAAGAAUCACCCAUCCACAUAAUUUGAUGAUUUAUGAAAUUUUCCAGGAAUGUGUUUGGAUAAUUUUAUGCUACUUACGAUUUGAAUCAAGCCAAAAAGUGGGUCAGAUUACAUUAAUUAGUAUGUGCAGAGUGUAAAUUUUCAACCCGAUCAACAAAAUUGCUGAUAACCCCCAGAUACUUGCCACAAAUUCUUCUGAUUCCCAAAAAGAAAACACUCAAACAAGUAAAAUCACCAGAUCCAGAAGAUGACACCAUAAAUAAAGAUUGCCAGAGCAUUUGGUAGUGAAACUUAUAGUGGAAAAAUGCCACACAACUCACUCAAUUCCCAAUUAAAACUACUGGGUUGUGCCCAAAACCGGAUCCCCAACAAUACCCAUUUGGCAGAUCACACAAAAAUCCAAGAAAUCCCAAGAAAACAACUGAUAUAGAUUCAAGAGAAUAACAACUCACUCAAAACCGAAUCCCCAACAAUAACCAUUUGGAAGAGCCCAUAAAAGCUAAGAAAUCUCAAGAAAAUGACAAUGAAACAGAGAAAAAUGAAGCAAAAUUAUUGACUCAGAUUGAAGAGAAGUACCAGUGGAAGGCUUUCAUGGGAGGCACCAGAUUGACAAGGUUGGCAUAGCCCUUGAUGAGUUCUUCAAUCUGGUCAGGUGGGGUUGAAUCUUUGAAUUUUGCCAGCAAUACGUGCUUUACCACCCCCUUCGCCUCUUCCAUUCUACUCUCUCUUAGGACUCUUCCCCUUUCUCUGUGCCACCUUGCUUGCUUAUCUAAAAAGCUGUCAGCCAAUCAUCUACAAAGUACUGCAAGAAUGAUUUGAGAUGAAAAUCCAAUUGGAAAAGGUAACCAAUUUUCAUCCUUUAGAAAAAUUUAUCAUUUUUUAUUGCCUUACAUACAAAAAGAUUUCCUUAAUAUACAAAUUAUUUUUUACCUCAAAUUAUUUAUUUGUAUGGAAAUGUUUUUUUAAUAUAAAAAGUGAAUUUUUAACUUUCACUCCAAAUUUGAAGGAUACUCUCAAUUAAUAUUUAUUUUAAUUUUAGAAAAAUUCAAACUAAGAAUAAAAAUAAAAAAUAAAAAAUCAGACAAGUCACGUGAUCAUUUUCAUUGAUAAUAGAAAAAAUGUGACAAAAUGAGCAUUUAUACAAUUUUUUUAACUAAUUGAUAAGUUUUUUUAUUGUAUGCAUGCUUACCAAGGAGUUUAGACUUCACAAGCUACACUUCUUUUUUCAUUGAUUGCUACACUUUCUUGUACACAUUUAUCAAGAACUUGGGGGCCCAGAAUUUGAGAUGGAACGUUUAAACAUUUGGUUUUGCCAUCUAUCUAAUGAAAACCCAUUUGUUUUUCUUUUUAAUGUUUUAUUAUAUUUGGUUCGGAAAAAUAUUAAGAAAAAAAAAGUAUUAAAAUAAUGUUUUUUUUCUAUUUUAUUACGAAAAAUAUGAAAAAAAAAAAAGUUAAAUAUAAUUAAAAUUAAUAAUUUUUUUAUAUAUAUUUAAAUUAUUUAAUAUUUAUAUAAAUGAGUUAAAUCCCAUAAAUGGUUCUAGUUAAUGAAAUGAUCCAUAGAAUCUUCGUUACACCAUCCACCUUUUAGGCUUUGAGCAUUCUCAGACCUUUCCAUUCUUUUCAACCGCAGGAGUUGUACUUCAUUGGAAACGGAAGUGAUUUUGGAUUGGAAGCGGAUAUUCCAACUAUCUUCCAAUUAAUACUCCAAAUUCACAAUAUCAAACAAGACCAUCGACCUCAAAAUUCACUAAAGAAAUUGACUCAAAAAUUCAAAUACCACGACACCAUCCAGUCUGCAUUUUUAUAAGAGAUUAAACUGGCCGGAUAAUUGGUAAUUGUCAUCUGCCUUUUGGUUCAGAGAUGGACUGCAGUGGGCUUGUAGUCCAAAACAAUGACUUUCUCCAGGUGGGGCAGGAACCGAUUUGCA
rnacentral:lncRNA from 1 species